rnacentral:sRNA from 1 species
UUGCUUAGCUUCAUAGCCUGAAAGGGCUAUUGGCUGGUGGCUUUUUAGCCACCGGCCU